rnacentral:rRNA from 1 species
GGUUAAGCGACUAAGCGUACACGGUGGAUGCCCUGGCAGUCAGAGGCGAUGAAGGACGUGCUAAUCUGCGAAAAGCGUCGGUAAGGUGAUAUGAACCGUUAUAACCGGCGAUGUCCGAAUGGGGAAACCCAGUGCAAUUCGUUGCACUAUCGUUAACUGAAUACAUAGGUUAACGAGGCGAACCGGGGGAACUGAAACAUCUAAGUACCCCGAGGAAAAGAAAUCAACCGAGAUUCCCCCAGUAGCGGCGAGCGAACGGGGAGCAGCCCAGAGUCUGAAUCAGCUUGUGUGUUAGUGGAACGGUCUGGAAAGUCCGACGGUACAGGGUGAUAGUCCCGUACACCAAAAUGCACAGGCUGUGAACUCGAAGAGUAGGGCGGGACACGUGGUAUCCUGUCUGAAUAUGGGGGGACCAUCCUCCAAGGCUAAAUACUCCUGACUGACCGAUAGUGAACCAGUACCGUGAGGGAAAGGCGAAAAGAACCCCGGCGAGGGGAGUGAAAAAGAACCUGAAACCGUGUACGUACAAGCAGUGGGAGCACCUUCGGGUGUGACUGCGUACCUUUUGUAUAAUGGGUCAGCGACUUAUAUUCUGUAGCAAGGUUAACCGUAUAGGGGAGCCGCAGGGAAACCGAGUCUUAACUGGGCGUUAAGUUGCAGGGUAUAGACCCGAAACCCGGUGAUCUAGCCAUGGGCAGGUUGAAGGUUGGGUAACACUAACUGGAGGACCGAACCGACUAAUGUUGAAAAAUUAGCGGAUGACUUGUGGCUGGGGGUGAAAGGCCAAUCAAACCGGGAGAUAGCUGGUUCUCCCCGAAAGCUAUUUAGGUAGCGCCUCGUGAAUUCAUCUUCGGGGGUAGAGCACUGUUUCGGCUAGGGGGUCAUCCCGACUUACCAACCCGAUGCAAACUACGAAUACCGAAGAAUGUUAUCACGGGAGACACACGGCGGGUGCUAACGUCCGUCGUGAAGAGGGAAACAACCCAGACCGCCAGCUAAGGUCCCAAAGUCAUGGUUAAGUGGGAAACGAUGUGGGAAGGCACAGACAGCCAGGAUGUUGGCUUAGAAGCAGCCAUCAUUUAAAGAAAGCGUAAUAGCUCACUGGUCGAGUCGGCCUGCGCGGAAGAUGUAACGGGGCUAAACCAUGCACCGAAGCUGCGGCAGCGACACUAUGUGUUGUUGGGUAGGGGAGCGUUCUGUAAGCCUGCGAAGGUGACCUGUGAGGGUUGCUGGAGGUAUCAGAAGUGCGAAUGCUGACAUAAGUAACGAUAAAGCGGGUGAAAAGCCCGCUCGCCGGAAGACCAAGGGUUCCUGUCCAACGUUAAUCGGGGCAGGGUGAGUCGACCCCUAAGGCGAGGCCGAAAGGCGUAGUCGAUGGGAAACAGGUUAAUAUUCCUGUACUUGGUGUUACUGCGAAGGGGGGACGGAGAAGGCUAUGUUAGCCGGGCGACGGUUGUCCCGGUUUAAGCAUGUAGGCUGGUUAUCCAGGCAAAUCCGGAUAAUCAAGGCUGAGGUGUGAUGACGAGGCACUACGGUGCUGAAGUAACAAAUGCCCUGCUUCCAGGAAAAGCCUCUAAGCAUCAGGUAACAUCAAAUCGUACCCCAAACCGACACAGGUGGUCAGGUAGAGAAUACCAAGGCGCUUGAGAGAACUCGGGUGAAGGAACUAGGCAAAAUGGUGCCGUAACUUCGGGAGAAGGCACGCUGGUGUGUAGGUGAAGCCCCUGCGGGUGGAGCUGAGACCAGUCGAAGAUACCAGCUGGCUGCAACUGUUUAUUAAAAACACAGCACUGUGCAAACACGAAAGUGGACGUAUACGGUGUGACGCCUGCCCGGUGCCGGAAGGUUAAUUGAUGGGGUUAUCCGUAAGGAGAAGCUCUUGAUCGAAGCCCCGGUAAACGGCGGCCGUAACUAUAACGGUCCUAAGGUAGCGAAAUUCCUUGUCGGGUAAGUUCCGACCUGCACGAAUGGCGUAAUGAUGGCCAGGCUGUCUCCACCCGAGACUCAGUGAAAUUGAACUCGCUGUGAAGAUGCAGUGUACCCGCGGCAAGACGGAAAGACCCCGUGAACCUUUACUAUAGCUUGACACUGAACAUUGAGCCUUGAUGUGUAGGAUAGGUGGGAGGCUUUGAAGCGUGGACGCCAGUCUGCGUGGAGCCAACCUUGAAAUACCACCCUUUAAUGUUUGAUGUUCUAACGUUGGCCCCUUACCGGGGUUGCGGACAGUGUCUGGUGGGUAGUUUGACUGGGGCGGUCUCCUCCCAAAGCGUAACGGAGGAGCACGAAGGUUAGCUAAUCCUGGUCGGACAUCAGGAGGUUAGUGCAAUGGCAUAAGCUAGCUUGACUGCGAGCGUGACGGCGCGAGCAGGUGCGAAAGCAGGUCAUAGUGAUCCGGUGGUUCUGAAUGGAAGGGCCAUCGCUCAACGGAUAAAAGGUACUCCGGGGAUAACAGGCUGAUACCGCCCAAGAGUUCAUAUCGACGGCGGUGUUUGGCACCUCGAUGUCGGCUCAUCACAUCCUGGGGCUGAAGUAGGUCCCAAGGGUAUGGCUGUUCGCCAUUUAAAGUGGUACGCGAGCUGGGUUUAGAACGUCGUGAGACAGUUCGGUCCCUAUCUGCCGUGGGCGCUGGAGAAUUGAGGGGGGCUGCUCCUAGUACGAGAGGACCGGAGUGGACGCAUCACUGGUGUUCGGGUUGUCAUGCCAAUGGCACUGCCCGGUAGCUAAAUGCGGAAGAGAUAAGUGCUGAAAGCAUCUAAGCACGAAACUUGCCCCGAGAUGAGUUCUCCCUGAGACUUUAAGUCUCCUGAAGGAACGUUGAAGACGACGACGUUGAUAGGCCGGGUGUGUAAGCGCAGCGAUGCGUUGAGCUAACCGGUACUAAUGAACCGUGAGGCUUAACCUU